AAGACUUCAAAUUUAACUGAAAAAGGCUGUUUUGGCGCCAAGCUACUGUUUCUUUGAGAGAUCCUGCCUUUACCUGCUCCCUCCUAUACUGAUGUGGUGUAUGUGGUAUUGCUGAGCUUGUAUGUGGUGGAAGCAGAAUAUGUGAGGAUUACUACUGCUGCACAUGUUCCAAGGCUUUUUACACAACUUGACCAAUACACUGACCAGCUCAUAAAAGUCUUCAAGAAAAAAGGAGGCGUUGCAGGGAAGAAAAUUAGACAAACUUUGGCCCCAGCCACACAGAAGGAAACCAUUGAAAAGGGGAGGGAGUGUGUCCUCAGGGCACUACCUUUUUACCUGAAUGAAGACCCAAGCAUCCUCUUCAAAGAAUAAUUGCUACAGCUGUUCAGAGGGAGCUGGAACAAAUUACCCUUGCUAUCUUUACCAUCGAAAGAGCUGAUGCCAGCACUCCUCCAGCCGAUGUGGGUGUAAGCGCCAGACGUCUGCUUUAUAUUUUUAUUUACGAUUGAGUUCAUGUUUGUUUUAUAAUUCAUAGAUUCAUUACAUAAGUCAUCUUUUCAGGAUUAAUAAAUGUGAAAAUAUAUGUGUUUACAUAAAGUAAUUUUAAGUCACUGUUUUGGGAUUGGAACCUAAAAGGGGGUACCUCUCACUUUAAUUAUGUAAGUGCA